AGAGUUUGAUCCUGGCUCAGGACAAACGCUGGCGGCGUGCUUAAUACAUGCAAGUCUAAGGAGAAAGUUGUCUUCGGAUAACGAGUAAACUGGCGGACGGGUGAGUAACGCGUAGGCAACCUGCCUUUAAGAUUGGGAUAACGUUUGGAAACGAACGCUAAUACCAAAUAAUAUUCUUUGAAUCAAAGAGGGCUUCGGCUCUUGCUUAGAGAUGGGCCUGCGUCUGAUUAGCUAGAUGGUAAGGUAAUGGCUUACCAUGGCAACGAUCAGUAGCUGGUUCGAGAGGAUGAUCAGCCACACUGGGACUGAGAUACGGCCCAGACUCCUACGGGAGGCAGCAGUAGGGAAUUUUGCGCAAUGAGGGAAACCUUGACGCAGCAACGCCGCGUGAUCGAAGAAGCUUCUAGGAGUGUAAAGAUCUGUCAUAGGGGAAGAAAUACGUAUAUUCUAACACAAUAUUCGUUUGACGGUACCCUAUAAGAAAGCUCCGGCUAACUAGGUGCCAGCAGCCGCGGUAAUACCUGGGGGGCAAGCGUUGUCCGGAUUCAUUGGGCGUAAAGGGCUCGUAGGUGGGCUGACCAGUCAAAAUUGAAAUACAAUGGCUUAACCAUUGGAACGGUUUUGAUACUAUCAGUCUUGAGUGAAAUAGAGGUAAGCGGAAUUCCUAGUGUAGCGGUGAAAUGCGUAGAUAUUAGGAGGAACACCAAAGGCGAAGGCAGCUUACUGGAUUUAUACUGACACUGAGGAGCGAAAGCGUGGGUAGCGAACAGGAUUAGAGACCCUGGUAGUCCACGCCGUAAACGAUGAGCACUUGGUGGUGGGGGAUUCGACCCUUUCACUGCCGGAGUUAACGCAUUAAGUGCUCCGCCUGGGGACUACGAUCGCAAGAUUGAAACUCAAAGGAAUUGA
rnacentral:rRNA from 1 species